GUGUGACUCUCAUCUGUGUGAGUGUACAGGUGUGACUCUCACCUGUGUGAGUGUACAGGUGUGACUCUCACCUGUGUGAGUGUACAGGUGUGACUCUCAUCUGUGUGAGUGUACAGGUGUGACUCUCAUCUGUGUGAGUGUACAGGUGUGACUCAUCUGUGUGAGUGUACAGGUGUGACUCAUCUGUGUGAGUGUACAGGUGUGACUCUCAUCUGUGUGAGUGUACAGGUGUGACUCAUCUGUGUGAGUGUACAGGUGUGACUCUCAUCUGUGUGAGUGUACAGGUGUGACUCUCACCUGUGUGAGUGUACAGGUGUGACUCAUCUGUGUGAGUGUACAGGUGUGACUCAUCUGUGUGAGUGUACAGGUGUGACUCUCAUCUGUGUGAGUGUACAGGUGUGACUCAUCUGUGUGAGUGUACAGGUGUGACUCAUCUGUGUGAGUGUACAGGUGUGACUCUCAUCUGUGUGAGUGUACAGGUGUGACUCAUCUGUGUGAGUGUACAGGUGUGACUCAUCUGUGUGAGUGUACAGGUGUGACUCAUCUGUGUGAGUGUACAGGUGUGACUCUCAUCUGUGUGAGUGUACAGGUGUGACUCUCAUCUGUGUGAGUGUACAGGUGUGACUCUCACCUGUGUGAGUGUACAGGUGUGACUCUCACCUGUGUGAGUGUACAGGUGUGACUCUCAUCUGUGUGAGUGUACAGGUGUGACUCUCACCUGUGUGAGUGUACAGGUGUGACUCUCAUCUGUGUGAGUGUACAGGUGUGACUCUCAUCUGUGUGAGUGUACAGGUGUGACUCUCAUCUGUGUGAGUGUACAGGUGUGACUCUCACCUGUGUGAGUGUACAGGUGUGACUCUCACCUGUGUGAGUGUACAGGUGUGACUCAUCUGUGUGAGUGUACAGGUGUGACUCAUCUGUGUGAGUGUACAGGUGUGACUCUCACCUGUGGCCUCCUUCUUGUGUCCUCUGAACACCUGCAGCUCCUCCUUCAGGUUUCUGAUGUCGAACAGUUUGCACAGGUGAUCCCGUGACGCCGUCAGCAGCCAGUUACCGUUGAGGUUCCACUUCACCUCCAUCACAGUGUUCUUGUGGGCGUGUCUGAGGACAGACAGGUGUGAUCAGCUGACUGCCUACAGCGUAAACCAUGAUGUCAUCAUGUACAAACUCAUUUUAUUGGUUCCUGCUGGUGUCGGUUCGUCUGAUGUUAGAACCUGAAGCUUGAUCUCCCACAUUAACAUUCCAUCAGUCAGAACAUCAUCCACCUGUCCACUUCACCUAUGAGUCUCAUUUAAAAUGCUCCAAAAAUAAGCUGCAGCUGAUUCUGUAGAACCAGAACAGAACCUCCUCCUGAUUCUGGUUCUCCAGGACCGACUCAGCUGAAACCAACAGGGAAACAUUCAGAGAGUUUCAGGUUGAACUGCAGGCAGUGUUUCCUCAGAGAGACUAAAAUAAAUGCAGCAGAACCAGAGGAGCAGGUUGGUGGAGAUCCAUCCAGCAUGAAGAAACAUCUACAGAUGAUGAGCAGAGUAGAGAGGAAAAGUCUGGAAAUAUGGAGAUAGAAAAACAUCUACAGGAUGAGGAGAUGGUAGGAGUUUAAGAGGAACCAGCUGGAGGUUCUGGAAGAUGUUUACAUCUUCCAGAACCUCCAGCUGGUUCCUCCUGAAGCUUCUACCAUCACCAGGACCAGGAUGACUGAGAACAUCCACAGAAACUUGAGAUUUAACAUCUGAGGAAACAUGCUGGAUGAUGGAUGAGGGUUUUUUUUUAAUUAUAAUUGUAAAAUAAAUAAAAAAAUGUUUCCUCUG